AUUGAACGCUGGCGGUAGGCCUAACACAUGCAAGUCGAACGGCAGCACAGUAAGAGCUUGCUCUUACGGGUGGCGAGUGGCGGACGGGUGAGGAAUACAUCGGAAUCUACUUUUUCGUGGGGGAUAACGUAGGGAAACUUACGCUAAUACCGCAGACGACCUACGGGUGAAAGCAUGGGAUCUUCGGACCUUGCGCGAUUGAAUGAGCCGAUGUCGGAUUAGCUAGUUGGGGGGGUAAAGGCCCACCAAGGCGACGAUCCGUAGCUGGUCUGAGAGGAUGAUCAGCCACACUGGAACUGAGACACGGUCCAGACUCCUACGGGAGGCAGCAGUGGGGAAUAUUGGACAAUGGGCGCAAGCCUGAUCCAGCCAUACCGCGUGGGUGAAGAAGGCCUUCGGGUUGUAAAGCCCUUUUGUUGGGAAAGAAAAGCAGCAGGUUAAUACCCCGCUGUUCUGACGGUACCCAAAGAAUAAGCACCGGCUAACUUCGUG
rnacentral:rRNA from 1 species